AGAGUUCGAUCAUGGCUCAGAUUGAAUUGGCGGAUGCUUUUACACAUGCAAGUCGAACGCAGCACGGACUUCGGUCUGGUGGCGAGUGGCGAACGGGUGAGUAAUGUAUCGGAACGUGCCUAGUAGCGGGGAUAACUACGCGAAAGCGUAGCUAAUACCGUAUAUUGCCCUUCGGGGGAAAGCGGGGGACCUUCGGGCCUCGCACUAUUAGAGCACGGAUAUCGGAUUAGCCAGCUGGUGGGGGUAACGGCUCACCAAGGCGACGAUCCGUAGCUGGUUUGAGAGGACGACCAGCCACACUGGGACUGAGACACGGCCCAGACUCCUACGGGAGGCAGCAGGGGGAAUUUUGGACAAUGGGGAAACCCUGAUCCAGCCAUCUCAUGUGCGAUGAAGGCCUUUCGGGUUGUAAAGCACUUUUGGCAGGAGAAAGAAACGCACGGAUAACACCCGUGCAACUGACGGUACCUGCAGAAUAAGCACCGGCUAACCAUGCACAGCAGCCGCGGUACGUAGGGGUGCGUUAAUCGGAAUUACUGGCGUAAAGCGCGCAGGCGGUUCUGUUAAGAUGUGAACCCCAGAGCUUAACUUUGGAACUGUACUUUAACUACCGAGCUAGAGUGUGUCAGAGGGAGGUGGAAUUCGCGUAGCAGUGAAAUGUGUAGAUAUGCGGAGGAACACCGAUGGCGAAGGCAGCCUCCGGGAUAACACUGACGCUCAUGCACGAAAGCGUGGGGAGCAAACAGGAUUAGAUAAUUCUGGUAGUCCACGCUCUAAACGAUGUCAACUAGCUGUUGGGGCCUUCGGCCCAGGUAGCGCAGCUAACGCGUGAAGUUGACCGCCUGGGGAGUACGGUCGCAAGAUUAAAACUCAAAGGAAUUGACGGGGACCCGCACAAGCGGUGGAUGAUGUGACUAAUUCGAUGCAACGCGAAAAACCUUACCUACCCUUGACAUGUCUGGAAUCCCAAGAGAUUUGGGAUAUCGCUACAAGAGAACCGGAACACAGGUGCUGCAUGGCUGUCGUCAGCCAAGUCAGAGAUGUUGCUAAAGUCCUGCAACGAGCGCAACCCUUGUCAUUAGUUGCUACGAAAGGGCACCCCCAUCGAGAUCGCCGGUGACAAACCGAGGACAGGGAUGACGUCAAGCUCUAUGGCCCUUAUGGGUAGGGCUUCACACGUCAUACAAUGGUCGUGGGACAGAGGGUCGCCAACCCGCGAGGGGGAGCUGCUAAAUCCCAGAAAACCCAAUCGUAGUCCGGAUCGCAGUCUGCAACUCGACUGCGUGAAGUCGGAAUCGCUAGUAAUCGCGGAUCAGCAUGUCGCGUGAAUACGUUCCCGGGUCUUGUACAUACCCCGCCCGUCACACUGGGAGUGGGUUUUAAACAGAAGUAGUUAGCCUAACCGUAAGGAGGGCGAUUACCACGGUAGGAUUCAUGACUGGGGGUAGUCGCAACAAGGUAACUCUUGUUACUACCUGAUGU
rnacentral:rRNA from 1 species